rnacentral:rRNA from 1 species
CUGGCGGCGUGCCUAACAAUGCAAGUCGAACGAGAAAGUGGAGCAAUCCAUGAGUAAAGUGGCGACCGGGUGAGUAACACGUGACUAACCUACCUUCGAGUGGGGGAUAACCUCGGGAAACCGAGGCUAAUACCGCAUAACAUCGCAAGAUCAAAGCAGCAAUGCGCUGGAAGAGGGGGUCGCGGCUGAUUAGCUAGUUGGCGGGGUAACGGCCCACCAAGGCGAAGAUCGGUAUCCGGCCUGAGAGGGCGCACGGACACACUGGAACUGAAACACGGUCCAGACUCCUACGGGAGGCAGCAGUGGGGAAUUUUGCGCAAUGGGGGAAACCCUGACGCAGCAACGCCGCGUGGAGGAUGAAGCCCCUUGGGGCGUAAACUCCUUUCGACCAAGACGAUAAUGACGGUACUGGUGGAAGAAGCACCGGCUAACUCUGUGCCAGCAGCCGCGGUAAUACAGAGGGUGCGAGCGUUGUUCGGAAUUAUUGGGCGUAAAGGGCGCGUAGGCGGUGCCACAAGUCACCUGUGAAAUCCCCGGGCUUAACUCGGGGCCUGCAGGCGAAACUGUGGUGCUGGAGUGUG